UGUCCGUAGGUGAACCUGCGGAAGGAUCAUUAAUGAGUUGUCAUGGGGUUCGAUGCUGGCAGCCAGUUUUUGGAUGCAUGUGCUUGCCCUAACAAUCAUCUUCUUCCAAACACCUGUGCACAUUUUUGAGGGAGUCUUGAGUUGGUUGCCGCUCUUGGGUGAUUUUCUCACAUUCCCUUAAAUCAUUAUACGCUAUUAACAAUGUUGAACGUGCUCUGUGCCGCAAGGCCAUUAAUAUAAUACAACUUUUAACAACGGAUCUCUUGGCUCUC
rnacentral:misc_RNA from 1 species